GUGUGCCUCGGGGCUCAGUCCACGCCCCUUGUGGUGAGGGCGCGUGUCACCAGUGACGUGGAGUGCUGCGUGGAGCGCUCCCUGUUCUCCUUCUCUAUGGCCGCUCUAGUCCCCAGACUGGGUUCUACUGUGUCAGUGAGUGGGAGCCCCUGACCCCGCCAGCGACACACACAUUCUGCCUCCAUUUUCCUCUGCUCUGUGUUUUGGGACUGGGCCCAGCACUGGGCUGGGAAAACAUUUCUGUCCUGAACUGUGGUUCACACCAAAGCACGACCAGAUCCUGCGGGGCAGGGCUGCUCACCGGCUUGGAAUGGACUGUCACUAAACAACUCUUCUUUGAUGAAAAGCUGCCUGUCACUGAUGGCUCAGAACACCCCACCCCACCUCAGCACGAGCAUCCCUUCACAGGACCUCGGUGCCACUGUUGACCGACAGAGCUCAGGGGUGCCCUGAUGCCGAAAGCUCAUUGUCUUCUCUGCUGCUUUAGUGAUAGUGCCAAGGAGGCCAGGCAGAGAGAUGGCCCAUGUUCAGUGGGAGAUUUUGAGCCUGCUCUCAGGUUGGAGUUGGAUUCUAAAGUAAGACUCCUUCCGGCUCUGUGAGGCAGUACUCCAGACUUGGGAGCAAACUGUACAAACUUCAAAUUUAAAUUUAGAGUUUUUAGAAAAAAAUCCCUUGUGGGUUCUUGGUGGAUAAAUGUAACAGUGCACUUUUGCAUGUGAAUGGGUGUUAAUUGACUGAAUAGUAAAAUGUGGUUUGUAGUCUAA